CCUACGGGAGGCUGCAGUGGGGAAUAUUGGACAAUGGGCGCAAGCCUGAUCCAGCCAUGCCGCGUGUGUGAAGAAGGCCUUCGGGUUGUAAAGCACUUUUGUUCGGGAAGAAAUCGUGCGGAUUAAUACUUCGUACGGAUGACGGUACCGAAAGAAUAAGCACCGGCUAACUUCGUGCCAGCAGCCGCGGUAAUACGAAGGGUGCAAGCGUUACUCGGAAUCACUGGGCGUAAAGCGUGCGUAGGCGGUUGGUUAAGUCUGCUGUGAAAGCCCUGGGCUCAACCUGGGAACUGCAGUUGGUACUGGGCAGCUAGAGUGUGAUAGAGGAUGGUGGAAUUCCUGGUGUAGCGGUGAAAUGCGUAGAGAGCGGGAGGAACACCAGUGGCGAAGGCCGCCAUCUGGAUCAACACUGACGCUGAGGCACGAAAGCGUGGGGAGCAAACAGGAUUAGAUACCCGUGUAGUC
rnacentral:rRNA from 1 species